UAUAAUUGUGCACACUUGCCUC
rnacentral:snRNA from 1 species